AGCGAAGGGGCCGUGAGGUCAACAGUCGGUAAUCGUUUAUCGGUGCGGCCUUAGAGAAAGGACCUCCAAGCCCUUGUUCAAUACAUGUUGGGUGGUGGUCACAGGUGCCAGUCUCCGGACGGAUGGCGGCCUAGAUUUCCUCCCGGACUCGGUGGCACCCAAGGCCCCCUGCACGCCGGCGCUGUGCGUGCCAGGCUGACCGCCCGAGUGCGACCCGGACCUCGUCCGCACGUGCAGAUGGAAGGGGCCACAAAGACGAUAAGGAUCCAGGUCUCCCGCGUGGAAGGCUCAUCUAUCGACAGAACCUCCACUCAAUACACCAGAAAACAGAGAGUAUCUUGCAGAAAUUAUGUUCGAAUCAUUUAACGUUCCAGGACUCUACAUUGCAGUUCAGGCAGUGCUGGCCUUGGCGGCAUCUUGGACAUCUCGACAAGUGGGUGAACGUACAUUAACGGGGAUAGUCAUUGACAGCGGAGAUGGAGUCACCCAUGUUAUCCCAGUGAAGGUUAUGUAAUUGGAAGCUGCAUCAAACACAUCCCGAUUGCAGGUAGAGAUAUUACGUAUUUCAUUCAACAGCUGCUAAGGGAGAGGGAGGUGGGAAUCCCUCCUGAGCAGUCACUGGAGACCGCAAAAGCCAUUAAGGAGAAAUACUGUUACAUUUGCCCCGAUAUAGUCAAGGAAUUUGCCAAGUAUGAUGUGGAUCCCCAGAAGUGGA
rnacentral:lncRNA from 1 species